GAACCUGACCUUCUGGUUAUCGGCACACUCAGUCACUCGGAAGAUUCUCUCUAUCUCCUUCAACCACUUCUGAGCACCAUCUGGAUCGUAUGCUCCCUUGAACAUUGGAGGAUUGUUCUUCUGGAACUCACUCAGUUGACGAGCAGCUCCCAUUCCCACAACAUUCGGAUUCCCUCCAAGUACUCCAGCUAGCAUACCCAGAGCCUCA
rnacentral:lncRNA from 1 species